GAGUGUCCUUCAGCAACGUGCGGCAAAUAGUAGCCAUGACAUCUGCACCCUUCUGCUGGCUAUGCAAAUAUUCCACUUCAUACGCCCACCGAUAUAGGCGAAAGGACACGCAUUUGAAAACGAUUUGGCAGGGUGUUUUUUGCUGAGCCCAAACAUUUUCCAAUCGAAUUCAGCGAUGUUUUUCGCACUUUCCUUUGGUUUUU
rnacentral:lncRNA from 1 species